rnacentral:tRNA from 1 species
ACUAUUUUGACAGAAAAAAUGUGAUGAUUUUAGAAGUCAUAAAUAUAUAAUUAAUAAAAAUUUAUAUAUAUAGUA